rnacentral:rRNA from 1 species
GAAGUAACACUCCUACCCAUUCCGAACAGGAAAGUUAAGAUC